UGGAAAUUAGCGAGAGAUGCGGUUGAAAAAGUGCCAAAGUGCCACAGUGACAACAACUAUUUGAGCACUUAAAGUGUUGUAAGCAAAAAAAAGCAAAUAGCCUUUUCCUUUUCUCAUGAAGAUUUUAGCGUUUGUUGAUUUAAAAAAUACAAAAAUGUAGGGUUGAUGAUGCAAUUGUAGGCUUGUGAAAGUUGGACCUUUUGAAAUCCAAGUGCUAGGAGUGGAUUUCUGAGCACAGAAAGAUGUGUUUAUGCAUUCUGCAUCAUACUCUUGUAUAAGCUCUUAUCAUUUGCCCAUUCUUGUUAUGGCCAUUAUUUAGGGGGCAUAUUGUAUUGUGUCAAAUCCUUUUUUGCCCCUCAUUUUUGCUUCUCUCUCAAGUCAUCCUCUUUGCAUCAACUUCUUUUCCUGCAAAUGUUGGCGUGUUGGGAUGUGGGUGGAGAAAGAUAAGAAUGACAUUGGAAGACUUGUCUUGGGGUUUAGAUGCCCCACUGGUGAGGUUCAUGCAUUAAAAUUAGAGUUUGAUAAAAAUCUAGGUAUGUGGGUGGAGAAAGAUAAGAAUGACCUUGGAAGACUUGUCUUGGGGUUUAGAUGUCCUACUGGUGAGGUUCAUGCAUUAAAAUUUGAGUUCGAUAUAAGUCUAGGUAUCUGGACUUUCAUCCAAGUUUCAAAGGAAGGCCCCUUGGAUGAAUGAACUAUCAUUUGAAAUGAGGCCACCCUGAGCAGAUAGGAUAAGUGUCAAGCUUCAUAUAUUUAAGCUAAACAGCCUAAACCUAUUGAACUCGAGUUAUUGAACACAAAUUUUUAAUGAACUUGAAGGUGCUUCCCAAUUGCAUUGCAGGUGGGAAAAUCAUCACCCGCAAUUUCACCCACUGGCUGUUGCAGGGAAUCUCAUCCACUGCAGGUUCACUCAUCCCCAGAACAGCUUUGCUGUCAUCCCAUUCUUUCAAAGCUGCCACCACUUUUGCCUUUCGAUCCAUGAGUCCAUGUUGGCCUGUAUCACACUUCGAAUAAGGUAGAGAAGGAAUUGCAGAGACAAGUCAUCAACAGAUUAGAGAUCAAUGUGCAAGAAUUGACACUGCAAAUUAACGGAAAAUAACAGUCAACUUGCUUACCAGUUACUAACAUUUGAUCAAUUAAAGAAAUAUACAAGGGUAUAGGGGCAUGCAACAAAUGAAUGCUGUGUGUUUGCUUCCACCACUUGCACACAACUAUUGCAUCAUAUGUUUUUUCUCCCCUUUUUUUUUUUCUCUUUAUGCAUUUCUAGCCCCACAUAACACAUGCAGAGAUGAAGCAGUACAGGCCCCAGACUUUGGCAUCUGUGGCUCCAGGUCUUCCUUAAGCAAGACGUUCAGAUGCCAAUCUCCCCAGAGGGAAAGAGAGCUGCAGUUAAAAAGAGGAAGAUCAAGCUCUUUAUCAGCCAAUAUCAAUAAUCAGCCCUCAGACCAAACUCAUACUCCACUCUUCAACACGUCAUCAAUGGUUAGAGCUGACAUGUUCAGCAGAUGGAUUUACUAUUAUCAACAGUGCAAUUACGGAUGCUGCCUGAACUAAACAACUGUUGAAGGAUGCCCAAAGAUAGGAAUCAGAAGAUCAAAUGGUUAUUGGUGGCUGGAGAACUAGUAACCAACUAUGCUCAUCUGCAUUUGCUCAGAGGAAGGAGGAAAAAUAUGAAUCAGCUAACAAAGGUUUGAUUUCAUCUAAUGUUGGUAGCAUUGCCUUGAAUUUGCUUAGAGGAAUAAUCUGUAGUGGGGCAGCGUCCCAUCAUUGUUUUUUCAAUAGGUUUCAUUACUUUACAUGUAAAAUGUUUGUCUCUGUAUUAGGAUACAUACACACCCAUCAGUGAACUAAGGAAUGAAAGAUACAUGCUCAUUUCUGUAUCGGAUUCAUUUGAUAAUUUUAAUUUGUUGUAAUAGUUGCACCGAGUUUUGUUUGAAUACCUUGUAUCAAUAUAACAUUGAGACUGACACGAUCUUUUCUGUGUAGAAGAAAAAGUAAACCUGGAGGAUCAUAGGAUGAAUGUGAAAAAGUGUCUCAUCACGUGGGAAUAUAUAGCUUUGUUCAUAGGAAGCUUCAACUUGGUCCCCUGGUAGGUGAUAAAGAGUACGUGUAAUGUCAAAACUCCCAUUGUCAAGGAAUAUUACGCGGUUGCUUCAAGAAAACGCUUCUAGAAAACCCUACAAAGUAAUGAUUUUAUGAGAAAAUCAAGACAGGAGAAGAGGCAUUGCAACAUUGUUAGUGGAAGAAAACCAUACCCCUAACGUCCUCCACAGAAAGAGAGGCCUUUAACUGCAAUUGAAGAGGAAGGAAGCCUUUACAGCAAUGUAUGCAGCUACCCCAUUAUAUUUUGAGGAAAAGACGAGAUUAUUUACUAUGCUUGUGAAAGAGACCUUUUGAGUUUCAGCUCACAGUUGGAAGUUGGAAUAAGUACUUAUUAUUUGGGCUUUGGAUCACGACAACUGAUUUUGUGGGCAUAGAGUGAACCAUACUGUGACCGUCUUUGGCCUAUUAACAGAUGUGAAUUUUAUAAAGUUUAUAUAGUGAUUAGUCAGGCCGGGAGAGAGAUAAGGUACAUGAGCCUUUAUGUAAAUGUAUUAUCAUUCCCUCAAAAAGGAAGAUUUCAUAUCUGUUGCUUAUUUUUAAGUCAUACGGACCUUGACCCUGAAUGUGUAAUAUCAACAUAUAGCGGGUAGUUCCCAUUUACAAUUUUACGUGCUUUUAUCAAUCAGAGUCAUAGGAAAUGCUCUUGCCAA